GACGAACGCUGGCGGCGUGCUUAACACAUGCAAGUCGAACGAAGUGGCGAACGGGUGAGUAACGCGUAAUCAACCUGCCCUUCAGAGGGGGACAACAGUUGGAAACGACUGCUAAUACCGCAUACUGAAGGAGGGGAAUGCGUCUGAUUAGCUAGUUGGAGGGGUAACGGCCCACCAGGGCGAUGAUCCGUAGGCGGGUGGUAAGGGUUAACGGCCAAAUUGGGAAUGGGGCACGGCCCAGGUUCCUACGGGGGGCAGGAGUGGGGAAUCUUCGGCAAUGGAGGGAAGUCUGAAGGAGCAAAGGCGCGGGAGUGAUGACGGCCUUCGGGUUGUAAAGCUCUGUUAAUCGGGACGCGGUACCGGAAGAGAAAGCCACGGCUAACUACGUGCCAGCAGCCGCGGUAAUUC
rnacentral:rRNA from 1 species